rnacentral:lncRNA from 1 species
AUGUCUGGAAGGCUGUGGCCCAAGGCCUUUUCUGCUGGCUAAAAGCAGGGUCUCCAGAACCAAAGGAAACACACAGCUCUUGUUAAAAUUGAAGAUGUUGACGCAUGAGGUGAAACAGAAUUCUCUUUGGGCAAGAGAUGUGCUUAUGUACAUAAAACAAAGAACAACACAGAGACUCCUGGCGGCAAACUAAACAAAGCCAGAGUAAUCUGGGCCCAUGGAAACAGUGGCAUGGUUCGUGCCAAAUUUCAAAGCAAUCUUCCUGCUGAGACCAUUGGACACAAAAUCUGAGUGAUGCUGUACCCCUCAAGGAUUUAA